CAUAAAGCUCGUCUGCGGAAGGAAGCAUGAAGUGCUCCAAAAUCUCCUGGUAGAUGGCUGCGUUGACCCUGGACUUAAUGAAGCACAGUGGACCAACACCAGCAGAUGACAUGGCUCCCCAAAUCAACACAGACUGUGGAAACUUCACACUGGACUUCAAGCAUCUUGCAGUGUGUGCCUCUCCAUUCUUCCUCCAGACUCUGGGUCCUUGGUUUCCAAAUG
rnacentral:lncRNA from 1 species